AAGUUAAUGCAUUCAUUAUUUACAGGAUCCAUAACAUAAGUGUUAAUUAAUUAGUAUAUAUUAACUGCACCAAGUUGAGGAGAGGCGAUUCCUCAAUUUGUGUGCCUUCUUCUGUCGUGGUCGUACUUUAAGGAAAAGCGUUACAAAUUUAAGUGAAACUUAUUUAACUCAUAAUCAAAUCCAUCCAAGCCUUUGAUAGUUUGAU
rnacentral:sRNA from 1 species